rnacentral:tmRNA from 3 species
GGGGAUGUUUUAGGUAUUCGAUGAGUAGAAGCUUGGAACACACUACAGCCGAGUGGUUUCGUUAAAAACCAAAACCAAAAUAAACGCUAGAAACAAUAACUAUGGCCGUGCAAUGGCCUUUGCUGCUUAAUUAGACGAAUAUAGUCUUGCAGCCUUUCUGAACGAGUUCGCUUUCUUCUAGUUCAGAUCGAUGGCGAAAAGAAGAUUGGAUGGAUUAUGGGCUGGAUAGUUUCAUCUGAAAUACUUACAGUCGACCCGAAAGAAAUCGUGUUUGUCCGAGUCUUUCGGUAUUCUGACAAACUAAGCUGUAAACAAUAGUGAGUUCGUGGGGCUCUGCUUAGACGCGAGUUCGAUUCUCGCCAUCUCCACCA